AAGUUAAAUUACCUCAAUGAGUUUCAUGUGGAGGCAUAGGCCAAUCUCUCCAUCAGUGUAGUGAUGAAUGAUGAUUCCUCCAGGGAAUCGGAUUCCAUUGGCGGCUUAACUUUUUCGGAAGUAGCAGCCUCCCUUGACUUAGUUGACUUUUGUCAUAGCACGACUGGUGUGAAUUUUGAUAUCACUUCUAUUUUGCUUCGCAUGAAAAUUGCAAGAAGUGAACUCGAAUUUGUCAAGACGUGCUAAUUUAUUUUGUGUAAUCAUUAGUCGUUUCCAGUGGUUCACCUGGGUUAGUAAAUUGUGUCAUUGAGGUAUGGGUCUUGAGCAUGCACAUUUUAGUCUUUCGAGCUGUCUUGGGCAGUUCUAGGUAAUGAACAUUGUGUCUUUUAGUAUAAGGAAUUAUGAUUCAGGAUUCUGCUCAUUGGAUUCUCCGAAUAAUUUAAGUAUCACGUUAAGGCAAGAAAAUACAUUGCCGUAGGACCAUACUAAAAGAAAUACUUUUCAAAAUACUGGAGAUCCUAAUGUUUCACUGCUGCUGUAGUGAGAAAGACAACUAUAAUAUAUUGUCUUUCUCUGUCAGAGUGAUUAAGACUUCCACAUUGUUGCGCCAAUUUUAUUCAAGGCGUUAAGGCGAGUAUCUAGAGUAUCAUCUAAGACAAAAUAAUUAGAAGAAUGAGGUAUUCUCUUUUUUUCUUGGUUAGCUAAUUUGCUGCACUACAUAUAGUGAGUGGUAAGGUGUAGAUAAGAUGAGCUGUCCUUUUGAAAUUCCUGCGAAUUAUUGUGCAAAAUUUCAAACUCUAUUUCCCAUACACGUGGAUUUGCACCUGAGUGUUUUUUCUUUUCUUGAGAAGCACAUGAGUUAUUUAUUUGAUUAUACACAGAUCCUUAUUAAAAAAAAAAAUUGUAUAUACAGAGACAAUUUCCAAGUUUGGUUCUGGACUAUUUCUCCUUGUGCAAGUUGUGCUCUUGUUGGAUUUUGUGCAUAGUUGGAAUGACAAAUGGGUUGGAUACGAUGAGCAAUUCUGGUAUGUGGCGUUGCUUGUUGUUUCACUUGUAUGUUACGUGGCUGCCUUUGCCUUCAAUGGACUGCUCUUCCACUUUUUCACUCCAUCUGGACAUGACUGUGGGCUUAACACUUUCUUUAUAGUGAUGACCCUUAUAGUCAUCUUCGUCUUUGCUGUUGUUACACUGCAUCCAUCGGUAGGAGGAAGCAUUUU